CUCUCUCUCUCUCACAGUCCUCUUAAACAAUGUUCCUUAUGCAACACUACUUAAAAGACAACACAAGACAACCCAGAACAAGCGGCUAUAAGCAACCACAGCCGCAUCUGUUCAGGUGAGCCCUGCUGUCCCUGGUGCUUAUUCUCAGCAUUAACAACCGUGAUAAAUCAACAACCUCAUUUGAUGGACCAAUGCAACUUAUUCCAGGCCAUCAAGGCACAAUUAGAAAUAUAAUAACACAAAAAAUAAUUAACGGACAGCUCAGGGAACAGUAAUGCGGCACCGGGAGGUGUGUAUUAUACUCACCCUAUUUGUAGAGGAAGGCCAGUCUUUCAUGGUGGCGAAGAGGUCAAUAAGAGACCCAGGGAUUGUUCAGGGAGCAUGAAUCUUUGCCAAAAAGAAGACAUGGCCAGCAAAAUAGUAGCUGAAGUUUAGCGAUACCAGCUAGCCACUCGGUGCGGACAUAGUUCUCCUCAUUGAAAGUGCGAUAACCACUCGUCUUUCUCUCCACACGCAGCUGAAGCUUUGGCAUUGGCCUGCCGUCAGAUUAAAUUUUUAGUUUCUGCCCAUGUGGCAGUUUGGUUAAAUUUUACUAAAUACUCUAAAUCUCGACCCUCCAAAGCUGCACUUGCUUAUACGAUAAAAAUGCAAACGUGCUAAUCUCCAGCUAUUUGUUUACGUUGACGUUGAUGCUUUGAUUUGAUAGGUGUGAAGCCAAGGGCCCGCUGGCUUCCCUUGGCACCCUGCUGACUAAUCACAGGAGGGCAGUGUCAUGACGGUAGCCUCACCUGAUUGGUUAAUCCUUCUUUUUUUUUUAAGAAGUUUGUUAGGCUUCAGUAGAAAAGGAUCCAAUUGCAGACAGAAG